rnacentral:rRNA from 1 species
CAGCAGUCGCCGCGGUAAUACGAAGGGUGCAAGCGUUACUCGGAAUUACUGGGCGUAAAGCGUGCGUAGGUGGUGGUUUAAGUCCGUUGUGAAAGCCCUGGGCUCAACCUGGGAAUUGCAGUGGAUACUGGGUCACUAGAGUGUGGUAGAGGAUAGUGGAAUUUCCGGUGUAGCAGUGAAAUGCGUAGAGAUCGGAAGGAACAUCUGUGGCGAAGGCGACUAUCUGGGCCAACACUGACACUGAGGCACGAAAGCGUGGGGAGCAAACAAGAUUAGAUACCCCCGUAGUCCCUGUCUCUUAUAC